rnacentral:rRNA from 1 species
AUUGAACGCUGGCGGCAGGCUUAACACAUGCAAGUCGAACGAGUGGCGGACGGGUGAUUAAUGCUUGGGAAUCUCGCUUAUGGAGGGGGCUAACUACGGGAAACUGUAGCUAAUACCGCUUACCAUAGGAUGAGCCCACGUGGGAUUAGGUAGUUGGUGAGGUAAAGGCUCACCAAGACGACGAUCCCUCGCUGGUCGGAGAGGAUGACCAGCCACACUGGGACUGAGACACGGCCCAGACUCGUACGGGAGGCAGCAGUGGGGAAUAUUGCGCAAUGGGGGCAACCUGACGCAGCCAUGCCGCGUGAAUGAAGAAGGCCUUCGGGUUGUAAAGUUCUUUCGGUAGCGAGGCGUUAACUACAGAAGAAGCACCGGCUAACUCCGUGCCAGCCGCCGCGGUAAUUC